UCUAAAGCGUAGAUGAGGAAAAGUAGGAAAAGGAUGCUUGAAAGAGAGAACCAUCACCGGCUGAAAGUGGUUUAAGCCCCUCCUGAUUUGAAAUGCACCUCUGAGCCCCAUUUCGAAAAGGGUCAACUCCUGAGUAGAUAUGGGCGGAGCCAUCCGUUAACAAGUUAGAGUGAGACUUUUAUAGCUAGGGGGGUGUGUUCAUUACGAACAGCAUGAAAUUAGCUAAUUGGUCUAAUCAGAGUGGAACCACGCGUAAUGCGUCUCUGUC
rnacentral:ncRNA from 1 species